rnacentral:rRNA from 1 species
GACGAACGCUGGCGGCGUGCUUAACACAUGCAAGUCGAACGGACAGGCCCUGCUUUUGUGGGGUGCUCGAUUGGCGAACGGGUGAGUAACACGUGAGUAACCUGCCCUUGACUUUCGGAUAACUUCAGGAAACUGGGGCUAAUACCGGAUAGGAGCUCCUGCUGCAUGGUGGGGAUUGGAAAGUUUCGGCGGUUGUGGCUGGACUCGAGGCUUAUGAGCUGGUUAGUCGGGUAGUGGCUUACCAAGCCUUUGAAGGAUAGCCGGCCUGAGAGGGUUGCCGGCCACAAGACGACUGAGAGACGGAGCAGACGCCUACGGGAGGCAGCAGGGGGGAAUAUUGCACAACGGGGGGAAGCCUGAGGCAGCAACGCCGCGAGCGGGAUGACCGGUUUCGGGGUGUAAACAGCUGUCGCAUUUGACGAAGCGUGAGUGACGGUAAUGGGUAAAGAAGCACCGGCUAACUACGUG